rnacentral:rRNA from 1 species
CUCAAGGAAUUGACGGGGCCGCACAAGCGGUGGAGUAUGUGGUUUAAUUCGAUGCAACGCGAAGAACCUUACCUGGUCUUGACAUCCCGGAGACCCUUAGGAAACUAGGGGGUGCUUCCAUCUGGAAGAAUCUGGAGACAGGUGCUGCAUGGCUGUCGUCAGCUCGUGUCGUGAGAUGUUGGGUUAAGUCCCGCAACGAGCGCAACCCUUGCCUUUAGUUGCCAGCAGUUCGGCUGGGCACUCUAAAGGGACUGCCGGUGUUAAACCGGAGGAAGGUGGGGAUGACGUCAAGUCCUCAUGGCCUUUAUGACCAGGGCUACACACGUACUACAAUGGCCGAUACAAAGGGCAGCGACACUGCGAGGUGAAGCCAAUCCCGUAAAAUCGGUCUCAGUCCGGAUUGGAGUCUGCAACUCGACUCCAUGAAGUUGGAAUCGCUAGUAAUCGUGGAUCAGCAUGCCACGGUGAAUACGUUCCCGGGCCUU